rnacentral:rRNA from 1 species
AAUGAACGCUGGCGGCGUGCCUAAUACAUGCAAGUCGAGCGAACAGAUGAAGUGCUUGCACUUCUGACGUUAGCGGCGAACGGGUGAGUAACACGUAAGGAAUCUACCUAUAAGCGGGGGAUAACAUUCGGAAACGGGUGCUAAUACCGCAUAAUAUCUUCUUCCGCAUUGAAGAAGAUUGAAAGAAGGCCCUGCUGUCACUUAUAGAUGACCUUGCGGUGCAUUAGUUAGUUGGUGGGGUAACGGCCUACCAAGACGAUAAUGCAUAGCCGAGCUGGGAGGGUGAUCGGCCACAUUGGGACUGAGACACGGCCCAAACACCUACGGGAGGCAGCAGUAGGGAAUCUUCCGCAAUGGGCGAAAGCCUGACGGAGCAAUGCCGCGUGAGUGAAGAAGGCCUUCGGGUCGUAAAACUCUGUUAUAAGAGAAGAACAAAUUGUAGAGUAACUGCUACAGUCUUGACGGUAUCUUAUCAGAGAGCCACGGCUAACUACGUGCCAGCAGCCGCAGUAA